rnacentral:lncRNA from 1 species
UUUAAUACAAUCCAGAAUGUUAACAACAGAUCAAUUCAAUCAUUCAAAUUUUUUAAAAGUAAUUUUCAAUCCAACUUUAUCAAACAACGCGGCUUCCUCCAAAAACCCAGCGAAAAUUCCCCAGAAUACAUUUUUGUGUAGCCAUUUCUGAAAUAUUAAUUCAUGUUUUUCUCAUGAAACAUGUUUGAAUCCAGACCAAGAAGUGUGUUAAGCUUCGGUUUUAUCCUUAUCACAGUUUACUUAUCCUCCAAUUCUUUACCAGUUGAGUCCCGUUGCAAUAAAGGGUGCGAUUUAGCUUUAGGUUCAUUCUUUGUUUGGCGGGGGACAAAUCUUAUUCACAUAUCACAGUUAUUCUCCGUUUCCACUAGACAAGAAAUCAUCGACUACAACAACAAAGAGAACAUACCUAAUCAGGACAGUGUCAUAGCUGGGACAAGAAUUAACAUACCUUUCAGUUGUGAUUGUUUGGAUGGUGAAUUCUUAGGCCAUGUUUUUUCGUACAAGGUUAUAUCUGGAGAUACUUAUGCUCGGGUUGCGUCGAAUUAUUCGGAUUUAACGACGGUGUAUUUGUUGAAGAGUUUUAAUAGCCAUCCUUAAUUUUCUCAAAGAGAUUCUUGAGAUAGUAGAGCUUCGUGCUGAUAACGUGUUAUGAAAUAAUAUAAAAACAAGAACAAUAGAGAGAAAAAAUCUGUUGGGCUUCGGUUUUAUCCUUACCACAGUUUACUUAUCCUCCAAUUCUUUACAAGUUGAGUCCCGUUGCAAUAAAGGGUGCGAUUUAGCUUUAGGUUCAUUCUUUGUUUGGCGGGGGACAAAUCUUAUUCACAUAUCACAGUUAUUCUCCGUUUCCACUAGACAAGAAAUCAUCGACUACAACAACAAAGAGAACAUACCUAAUCAGGACAGUGUCAUAGCUGGGACAAGAAUUAACAUACCUUUCAGUUGUGAUUGUUUGGAUGGUGAAUUCUUAGGCCAUGUUUUUCCGUACAAGGUUAUAUCUGGAGAUACUUAUGCUCGGGUUGCGUCGAAUUAUUCGGAUUUAACGACGGUGGAUUUGUUGAAGAGGUUUAAUAGCCAUUCUGAGAAUAAAAUUCCAGAUGAUGUUACCUUAAAAGUGGUUGUGAAUUGUUCCUGUGGGAAUAAAGAUAUUUCUAAAGAUUUUGGGCUGUUUGCUACGUAUCCUUUGCGGCCUGAGGAUAACUUGACGGCCGUAGCUUCCACGGCCAAUGUCAGUGCUGAAUUAAUCCGGAGUUAUAAUCCAGGAGCGAAUUUCAGUGCUGGGAAAGGGAUUGUGUUUAUACCUGGAAGAGGUCAGUAUUAUUGAUAUUUUUCAAUGCCCUCAAUUAUGGUCUUUUCCUGUUUUAGGUGUUAAUGCAAUUUGAU